GCGUUGGUCAUGCUCAGUCGGGAGAGCAUGAGACUCUUAAUCUCAGGGUUGUGGGUUUGAGUCUCGGGUUGGGCA